CUGGGCUGCGAGGGGACAGACGCUGAGUGAGUGGCCGAGCCCCGCGGCCCCGGGGGCGGCAGCCCAGCACUCCCCUUGCCCCUCCCCGAGCAUCCCCUUACCUUGCCUGGGGUGCAGCUUCUGCCUCCUCGCUGCCGUCCUCAAGCCGUCGAUGAAGAGCGUGGCAGCUUGAAGAAGUGGACCAGCAGUUGAAGAAUCCCUUGUGUGGCACUUCUUAUAGCAGUUGUUUUCUUAUGCAUUUCUCAGAUAAGAGGCUAUUCAAGCAACUUUUGUUCAGGAUGAGAUUUGUGUUGUGCACUUUUCAGGCACCCUGAGGGAAAAGGAAGAUUAUAUCCAAAUCUGAGUUUAUUUUGUUUUGUUUUACAGUUUGAAAGGUCUCUGUAAAAAUUUAAGACAUCCUUUAGAGCUAAAUGUAGUUAAGCGUUGUCUUCUACCCCUUCCUCAAAUCAAAACCCCCAGCCUUGGUUUAAAAGGUUUUUAAACCUUUAAAACCUGUAAGGCAAGGCAUAAUAGAAGUUUGGAAGUUCAGUUUGCACUUCCAUAGAAAAUGUCAAAGUUCUUUGCAUUCUUCGCUCAGCUUUGGGACAAGGCACAGAAAUGUUGGUAUUUGCAGCAGAAAGGGAAAGUUUUAAAAUAAAAAUCAAUUCAGAAUCCA